UCGGCACGACAUCGAUGGCGACACCAGACAAAUGGUGUGUGGAGGCAGACUGAUUCAUUUCAGCCCGGCGAAAGCCGCGAACAGGUCAGAGACCUGGGGAGCCUUGCAAUAACUCAACAUUUCGCCGCCCCGAUGCACAGAUGUCUGCCG
rnacentral:sRNA from 14 species